rnacentral:lncRNA from 1 species
ACCAUUGCCAUCAGAAAAAACCACCCACCACGAUGGCAAAGCCGCUAAAAAGAGAAGAAAGAAUAAGAUGGAUGAGUUGCAGCUCUUUUAGAUCAUUGUCAACUACUGAUAUUGAUUUAGAGAUCCUACUCUAAACAACCCAAACCAUGUCAUGUCCUUCCAUGAGCACCUAUGGAGCAUUAAAUCUCGAACCACAUGAAGAAAAUGAAA